CCUUCCCUCUGGGAAUUGCAAUCAUGUCACCACCCUCCCUCUCGGUGACUUUGCACAUGCUGCUCCCUCAGCCUGAAACAACCCUCCCUGCUUUGCUUUGUUGGUGAAGAGGUGUUUUCAUUACCUAUUCUGCAGGCCUCCCCUGAGCUGGGUGGCCCUGCUCUGGGUUUUCCUGGUCCACAGUACUCACAGCUGAGCCAGAUUUAAUUUUUGUUUGACUCCUCAGCUAGGAUGGUGAAUGCCUGGAAGGAAGGAACACAUCUUAGUGUCACCCUGUCUGUCCCUAACGCCCAGCAUGGAGAGCUAUGAAGUGAAUGAAUAUAGGACCCAGGCACGGUUCAAAUCUUCCUGAAUAAAACAAAUGGAGGCCAGCCAUCUGGCAGGCAUUUCACAGCCCUUCCUAAAAUCAGUUACUAUUUGCCCUUGACUUCUUAUAGAACUCUGCUCAGCCUAGGCAGCCCACCCCCAAGCUGUUCUAUGCCCCUCUUUUGGUGUGUUUGAUACUUGAUGACACAAGCAGAAAGGAUUUUGUUCUUUUCUGUAGUAACCACCCCAGGUGUAAGAGUUUAAUAACAAAAUUACUGCAGAGUGCCUAUUAUAAUGGGGGGUGGAUUAAUUACCGGUGUGUGUGUCAUUUGGAACAUUAGAGAAGCCGCAUCCCUGAAGCCCAUCUCCACACCAGUUGGAAGCCCUCCUGCUCCUUCCCCAGCACCAGCUGCUGAGAACAAAGUCACUGCACUUACAUUGCCCUGACCCUGGAGUGCAGUGCCCAGCCUCCUCACCCGAUCCCCUAAGAGGCAGGAUUCCUCUGCUGAGGUCUGGGUCUCCUCAGGGGUUUGAAUCCAGAUCCCUGUGACCCUCCCGCUAUCAUUAUUCCCUGAGCUGGGCUUCAUCUGCUCCCAACGCCAUCCUUAAGGGUUAAGUGGAAGAAAGAAGACCAUGCAAUCAUCUUUACCUUCCUGCUUUCCCAAGACUGCAAAUUCAGACCACAGUGGGGGGAAGGGGGGGUCUGGCUGCUCAGCCUUCAAUCUCGAUUCUUUGCGCGCGCGCGCACACACACGCACACACACUUACACACUCUCGCCCCUGGGACCCAGCUCGGCGCAGGGCGGGGGCUCUGCCCGGUUUCUGCCGCUUUCCCAGGCGCGGGACCACGGCUUCCCGAGCUCCCGGAAGGACGAACGCACAACGCUUUGCUCAAGUCCCCGCAGUGUUCUGUCAAUCAGAGCCAGCGUUUUCAUGCCAGGGCUCAACUCCCUGAGGAGCCAAUGCAGGCCAGGUGGACUGAGCAGGACUGAGAGGUGAAGACUCUUCUUUGAUGGAGUGCAGUACAGAAACAGACAGAGGGCUGGAUUUUGCCUACCCUUGACCUUUGAUGGAGGGUGAACAUAGGAGGGAAUGAGAAACGUGGGAGGAGGACUCCCAUGACUGAGCUUCAGACCCUGGGCCGAAAGAACAGAGAUGCUCCUGGUCACACAGCCCCCCAGGGACGAAGAACUACCUCAGGAGUGGCUCAGCGGAAACGAAUCCGACUAGGAACCAUGAGGUUGCGGGUUCGAUCUCUGGCCUUGCUCAGUGGGUUAAGGAUCUGGCAUUGCCUUGGGUUGUGGUGUAGGUUGCAGAUGUGGCCCAGUUCCUGAGUUGCUGUGGCUCUGGCAUAGGCUGGCAGUUACAGCUCCGAUUUGACCCCUAGCCUGGGAACCUCCAUAUGCCGCGGGUGCGGCCUAGAAAAUACAAGACAGAUUAAAAAAAAAAAAAAAAAAAAAAGAACUACCUCAGAGGGCAUGGGCUGCAGCUCAAUCACAUACACAAAGGCACCAACGUGAUGCCACAGAAAACUGGUAAACCUCGGAAAAGGAAGCAAGGCCUUCCUGCUCCAGUUUAUGCUGUUCCUACAGCGCCCUCUAGUGGCAGAGACUAACAAGCCAGGUUGCAAAGGACUGGAGGCUGCUUCCAUUCGACCUGCUGCUUCUCUCUGUGUCCACCUCCUCCCUCCUCCCUGAACCUUCCAGCUGCCAUCUUGCCUGAUGGAUGCCGUUGCGGUCCUGAGAGGCAGUCAGCAUCUUCUUUGGGUUGUGCUGUGGGGGAGGAGAUGGCGGGGGCGUGAUCAUUCCUUGCAUAGGUGGGCUUGGAAGCCAACAAGUUAUGGAAAAAAUGGUCGGGUUCUUUCUGAUGGUGGUUUACAGGUCCCAGUCUUCGUCUGAAGUGGUGAAUAUUGGACAAUGGCAGUAAGUGGCUUUCCAUUGCUCUCCGCUUUUGGUAGGACCUGGGAAAGUUGGGGGGCCCCCUGAAGGGGAAUCUCUGUCCCCGCCGUAGAUGUCUGGGUGCAUGCAGUCUUCUGCUACCUUUCUAAAGCAAACCUCUGGGGAGUUUCUGCUGUGGCUUAAUGGGAUCGGUGGUGUCUUGGGAGUUCUGGGACGCAAGUUCGAUCCCCACCCGGCACAGUGGUUUAAAGAUCCGGUGUUGCCACAGCUGUGGCUUAGGUUGUGACUGCUGCUUGGAUCUGAUCGCUGGCCCGGGAACUCCAUAGGCCAUGGGGUGGCCAAAAAUGAAAAUAAAUAAAACCAAAUAAAGCA
rnacentral:lncRNA from 1 species